rnacentral:misc_RNA from 1 species
GCGUCAUUAUCAACCAUCAAGCCCGGCUUGUCAAUUGGGCCCUGCCCUCAAAAGGGCAGGCCCGAAAGUCAGUGACGGCGUCGAUCGACCCCAGGUGUAGCGAGCUAUUUCAGCAGCACCAUGGUGGCCGGUGGGGCGCCGUCUGAACCAUCUUUCUCAAGGUUGACCUCGGAUCAGGUAGGGAUACCCGCUGAACUUAA